CCUACGGGCGGCAGCAGUCGAGAAUCAUUCACAAUGGGGGAAACCCUGAUGGUGCGACGCCGCGUGGGGGAAUGAAGGUCUUCGGAUUGUAAACCCCUGUCAUGUGGGAGCAAAUUAAAAAGAUAGUACCACAAGAGGAAGAGACGGCUAACUCUGUGCCAGCAGCCGCGGUAAUAAAGAGGUCUCAAGCGUUGUUCGGAAUCACUGGGCGUAAAGCGUGCGUAGGCUGUUUCGUAAGUCGUGUGUGAAAGGCGCGGACUCAACCCGCGGACGGCACAUGAUACUGCGAGACUAGAGUAAUGGAGGGGGGACCGGAAUUCUCGGUGUAGCAGUGAAAUGCGUAGAGAUCGAGAGGAACACUCGUGGCGAAGGCGGGUCCCUGGACAUUAACUGACGCUGAGGCACGAAGGCCAGGGGAGCGAAAGGGAUUAGAUACCCCGGUAGUC
rnacentral:rRNA from 1 species